rnacentral:rRNA from 1 species
GUACAGGAUGGACCCGCGUCUGAUUAGCUAGUUGGUAAGGUAACGGCUUACCAAGGCGACGAUCAGUAGCCGACCUGGGAGGGUGAUCGGCCACAUUGGAACUGAGACACGGUCCAAACUCCUACGGGAGGCAGCAGUGGGGAAUAUUGCACAAUGGGCGAAAGCCUGAUGCAGCAACGCCGCGUGAGGGAUGAAGGCCUUCGGGUCGUAAAACUCUGUCCUCAAGGAAGAUAAUGACGGUACUUGAGGAGGAAGCCCCGGCUAACUACGUGCCAGCAGCCGCGGUAA